UACGAAGGGGGCUAGCGUUGCUCGGAAUUACUGGGCGUAAAGGGCGCGUAGGCGGAUGUCUAAGUUGGGGGUGAAAGCCCGGGGCUCAACCUCGGAAUAGCCUUCAAUACUGGAUAUCUUGAGUUCGGGAGAGGUGAGUGGAAUGCCGAGUGUAGAGGUGAAAUUCGUAGAUAUCGGGAGGAACACCUGUGGCGAAGGCGGCCACCUGGACGGUAACUGACGCUGAGACGCGAAAGCGUGGGUAGCAAACAGG
rnacentral:rRNA from 1 species